AUGUCUUCAACAUCAAGGAUCUCUCUCCCUACCAUGGAGAUGAGGCUUUCGAUCCAAGGUCGGAUCUUUCCCAAGGGUGGGGGAGAUGAUGUGGAGCAUCCCAAGUUCAUCCCCAUGGACCUACCUACGUCUCCCACGUCACCACUUGUACCACUGACAAGAGCUCGAGCAAAGGCUAUCGAAGAUAAGGUGAACUCGCUCCUCUCCAAACUUCCACUUUCUACAUAUGAGACAUGGCUACUACCUCAAGAAGAGACCCUAUGUGUGAUCAGGUACUUGGAGGAAGGCCAUGGAGCAGCUACACACAACGGACAAGACAACAAGGACACCAAGUACAAGGAGCGAGUCGAAAAGCAGCAUGGAAGUCUCCAGCCGUCGGUCGACCGACCCCGACCGGACGACCGAUGCCUGAAGCUCCAACCAGCCAGAUGA
rnacentral:rRNA from 1 species